UGCUUUUCCACAAGUUGAAACUGUUCCC
rnacentral:piRNA from 1 species